rnacentral:tRNA from 1 species
GGUCGCUUAGCUCAGUUGGUUAGAGCGUGGUGCUAAUAGUUUACAACCUUGAUACGCCAAGGUCGCGAGUUCGACCCUCGUAGUGACCA